rnacentral:tRNA from 1 species
GCCAUUGUGGCUAAGUGGUUAGAGCAUCGGCCCUCAGACUGAAGGGUCUCAGGUUUGAUUCCUGGUCAAGGGCA